UACGUAGGGAGCAAGCGUUGUCCGGAAUCAUUGGGCGUAAAGAGCUCGUAGGCGGUCUGUCGCGUCGGAUGUGAAAGCCCGGGGCUUAACCCCGGGUCUGCAUUCGAUACGGGCAGACUAGAGUGUGGUAGGGGAGAUCGGAAUUCCUGGUGUAGCGGUGAAAUGCGCAGAUAUCAGGAGGAACACCGGUGGCGAAGGCGGAUCUCUGGGCCAUUACUGACGCUGAGGAGCGAAAGCGUGGGGAGCGAACAGG
rnacentral:rRNA from 1 species